rnacentral:rRNA from 1 species
UGGGGAAUUUUGGACAAUGGGCGCAAGCCUGAUCCAGCCAUGCCGCGUGCGGGAAGAAGGCCUUCGGGUUGUAAACCGCUUUUGUCAGGGAAGAAAUCUUCUGAGUUAAUACCUCGGGAGGAUGACGGUACCUGAAGAAUAAGCACCGGCUAACUACGUGCCAGCAGCCGCGGUAAUACGUAGGGUGCAAGCGUUAAUCGGAAUUACUGGGCGUAAAGCGUGCGCAGGCGGUUUUGUAAGACAGAGGUGAAAUCCCCGGGCUCAACCUGGGAACUGCCUUUGUGACUGCAAGGCUUGAGUGCGGCAGAGGGGGGAUGGAAUUCCGCGUGUAGCAGUGAAAUGCGUAGAUAUGCGGAGGAACACCGAUGGCGAAGGCAAUCCCCUGGGCCUGCACUGACGCUCAUGCACGAAAGCGUGGGGAGCAAACAGGAUUAGAUAGCCCUGGUAGUCCACGCCCUAAACGAUGUCAACUGGUUGUUGGGAAGGUUCCUCCUCAGUAACGUAGCUAACGCGUGAAGUUGA